AGCGAACGCUGGCGGCAGGCCUAACACAUGCAAGUCGAACGAACCUUUCGGGGUUAGUGGCGGACGGGUGAGUAACACGUGGGAACGUGCCUUUAGGUUCGGAAUAACUCAGGGAAACUUGUGCUAAUACCGAAUGUGCCCUUCGGGGGAAAGAUUUAUCGCCUUUAGAGCGGCCCGCGUCUGAUUAGCUAGUUGGUUGAGGUAAUGGCUCACCAAGGCGACGAUCAGUAGCUGGUCGGAGAGGAUGAUCAGCCACAUUGGGACUGAGACACGGCCCAAACUCCUACGGGAGGCAGCAGUAUCGAAUCUUGCGCAAUGGGCGAAAGCCUGACGCAGCCAUGCCGCUUGAAUGAUGAAGGUCUUAGGAUUGUAAAAUUCUUUAACCGGGGACGAUAAUGACGGUACCCGGAGAAGAAGCCCCGGCUAACUUCGUG
rnacentral:rRNA from 1 species